AUCCUUCUAGUAUAAAUAAAUAUAUUUGACUUCCAAUCAAAAAAUCCAUCUGUCUGGGGGGGAUAAUAUA
rnacentral:tRNA from 1 species